AAUGCUUUAUUCUUGUUUUCCUUAUGCUAAUUUCCAUAUUAAUUACCAAUCUCAUUAAUUCUUUCCUUCAGUCUAGUUUAACAAUGGGCUCUAUUGCUAGUUUCAAGUCAGAUUUCACUUCUUCAAGUACCAAACUAGAGUUCUAGUGGGUUUUUGAAGCCGUUUCUGGUGUGAAAACUAAUGGUAGGAUAUUUCUAAACUAAUUCUAUUUUCUGUAGUUGGGGCAUUGUCUCCUCAGUUGUGAAGUGGAAAUGCUCCUCCCUGUGGGGAAAGGGAAUUUGAGGAUAAGCUCUAGUGUCUAGUAAGUACUAUAAUAGUGCCCAGGCUUUCGCUUUUAAGAGAAUUUCUUAGAGGUGGUCUCUUACACAGGUAAAGAAUAUUGAGAUCAACAUAACGCCAGUGGGGAAGAACUUAAGCUGAUGCUUUCUGCCCUAAGUAAUUAUUGUUCUAGUGGGAGUCCUUUGUAUCCAAGUGGCUCUAAAGGAUAGGUUUCUGACCAUGACAGAAUCCUAAUUUCUGAUGGCAUUUAUGUUCAUGUUCUUCUUUCCAUGAUGGUAACUGAGUGGUGCUCUCUGUGAGGGAAUUUGAUGGUUAUCUGUACUGAGUUCUAGUUAGUUCAGAGAACUCUGGAUGAGGGCAUAGUACAAUUUUUUCACUUAGCUCUGUAGUCAAAGCAAUUGGCAUGAAAUGAUGUCGUUAUCCUUCCAAAGCUACAGUUCUCAUCCCCAUGAUCUUUUUGAUAUGGGAGGUAAGGGCGAGGAUUGAAACUUCCCUCUCCAGUUCUGUAGGAGACAUUACUCUUAAGAGGAAGUGCAUUAAAACAGUAACAAAAACCAAAACUACCUUUAUGUUUGUACAUCUUUGUAUCAUACUGGGUUCUUUGGCUCCUACCUCACUCCUACUACCUUUCCCUCGAGGAAGACGAUACAGCAUUUCUUGAAAUUGUUUACUGGCUGUCCUCAGUAAAGUAGUGUUUCACGUUGAAGAACUUUAAACAAAUAACUCCUUUCAGAAAUUUAUUCUCUUUUUCAAGACCCAUUUCUAUUCUUUCAUUAACCUCUUCUUGCAGUGAGAUU